rnacentral:rRNA from 1 species
GACGUAGGGUGCAAGCGUUGUCCGGAAUUAUUGGGCGUAAAGAGCUCGUAGGCGGUUUGUCGCGUCUGCUGUGAAAACUCGGGGCUUAACUCCGGGCCUGCAGUGGGUACGGGCAGACUAGAGUGCGGUAGGGGAGACUGGAAUUCCUGGUGUAGCGGUGAAAUGCGCAGAUAUCAGGAGGAACACCGGUGGCGAAGGCGGGUCUCUGGACAGUUCCUGACACUGAGACACGAAGGCCAGGGGAGCAAACGGG